rnacentral:rRNA from 1 species
AUUGAACGCUGGCGGCAGGCCUAACACAUGCAAGUCGAGCGGAUGAAGGGAGCUUGCUCCUGGAUUCAGCGGCGGACGGGUGAGUAAUGCCUAGGAAUCUGCCUGGUAGUGGGGGAUAAUGUCCGGAAACGGGCGCUAAUACCGCCUACGUCCUGCGGGAGCAAGUGGGGGAUCUUCGGACCUUACGCUAUCAGAUGAGCGUACGUCGGAUUAGGCAGUUGGUGGGGUAAAGGACUACCAAGGCGACGAUCCGUAACUGGUCUGACAGGAUGAUCAGUCAGACUGGAACUGAGACACGGUCCAGACUCCUACGGGAGGCAGCAAUGGGGAAGAGUGGACAAUGAGCGAAAGCCUGAUCCAGCCAUGCCGCGUGUGUGAAGAAGGUCUUCGGAUUGUAAAGCACUUUAAGUUGGGAGGAAGGGCAGUAAGUUAAUACCUUGCUGUUUUGACGUUACCAACAGAAUAAGCACCGGCUAACUUCGUG